UACGUAGGGUGCGAGCGUUAAUCGGAAUUACUGGGCGUAAAGAGCUCGUAGGCGGUUUGUCGCGUCGGCUGUGAAAUCCCGAGGCUCAACCUCGGGCCUGCAGUCGAUACGGGCAAACUAGAGUGUGGUAGGGGAGACUGGAAUUCCUGGUGUAGCGGUGAAAUGCGCAGAUAUCAGGAGGAACACCGGCGGCGAAGGCGGGUCUCUGGGCCAUAACUGACGCUGAGGAGCGAAAGCGUGGGGAGCGAACAGG
rnacentral:rRNA from 1 species